rnacentral:sRNA from 1 species
AGGGUGUUCAGGAGUGCGUGUUCAAUUUUUUACAGGCCUAUUGUGUAAAAAAAUGAACAACGCUAAGCUCGGCCAAACCCCAUAACAUCUACAAACAACGGGUGUCUCAUGUCUCGCCUGCCGUUAAUCGGCGUCACCGCCUGCACCAAGCAGAUCGGUCUUCAUCCCUACCACAU